AACGUAGGUGGCGAGCGUUAUCCGGAUUUACUGGGCGUAAAGCGUGUGCAGGCGGCUUAUCAAGUGGUGUAUGAAAAUAUCCAGCUCAACCUGGAGGGGUUAUGCCAGACUGGUAGGCUAGAGUGCGAGAGAGGGGCGUGGAAUUCCGGGUGUAGUGGUGAAAUGCGUAGAGAUCCGGGAGGAACCCCAGAGGCGAAGGCGGCGCCC
rnacentral:rRNA from 1 species